rnacentral:rRNA from 1 species
GAUGAACGCUGGCGGCGUGCUUAACACAUGCAAGUCGAACGGUGAAGGCGGAGCUUGCUCUGCUGGAUCAGUGGCGAACGGGUGAGUAACACGUGAGCAAUCUGCCCCUGACUCUGGGAUAAGCGCUGGAAACGGCGUCUAAUACUGGAUACGAGCUGCGAAGGCAUCUUCAGCAGCUGGAAAGAAUUUCGGUCAGGGAUGAGCUCGCGGCCUAUCAGCUUGUUGGUGAGGUAAUGGCUCACCAAGGCGUCGACGGGUAGCCGGCCUGAGAGGGUGACCGGCCAAACUGGGACUGAGACACGGCCCAGACUCCUACGGGAGGGAGCAGUGGGGAAUAUUGCACAAUGGGCGAAAGCCUGAUGCAGCAACGCCGCGUGAGGGAAGACGGCCUUCGGGUUGUAAACCUCUUUUAGCAGGGAAGAAGCGAAAGUGACGGUACCUGCAGAAAAAGCGCCGGCUAACUACGUG